GAGAAAGAAGAAUAUAAAGUGGAUCAGAGUUAACUUUAAGAAGGGAUGGGAGUAUCCCAACACGGACAAAAGAACCAUCAGAAGGAGAUUGUUGCAGUGAUAGGUUAAAAUUAGCAUUUCAUUUACUUAGUGAUACCAUAUUUGAAAUUGGAAAAUCUUGUCUUUGUCCUCUAUACAGGUGUUACAGACUAAAAAAGCACAAUCUCCAAAAGAUUUCAUAGGAAGUCACCAGCAGUUACUGUUCAACCAUCAUUUUCAUACUCAUUUUGACCUUCGAUUAUCAUCAAAUACGUGUUACAUAUGCUCUAAAGUGUCAGACUAAAUAUGAAAUCCUUCCACAAGCCUCAGUAAAAUACUCAAGAAAUGAGCCUUAAACCUUUCAUAAAUGGUGAUUGGUUAGAUAAGUUUUAGGAUCAGUUUGAGAACAUUUACAACUUCAGAAAUUUCAAGAAGAAAAGCUAAAACCUAACAAAAUCAUUCAGGUUUGGCAUACAUCUGUUCCUAUUAACAUCUACAAUUUGCAUAUACCAACAAAUCAAUGAAAUUAUAAGAUGCCUAAGCAUAUAAAGUACCAUUAUGAUACUAAAAGUAACUUAUUUUGAUCCUCUUUCAAGUGUUGAAUUUCUAAGCCAUCUUAUCCCAUACUAAAGAUUGUCAUAUUAAUGCCAGUAAAACCCUAAGGAAUUUGUUAAAGAAAAAAAAAACAAAUUACAGAAUAUUAAGAGUAAUGCAACUAACAAGAAAACCGGAUGCUCAUAAUUAUUUGAUAUUAAAAGCAUAAUUAAAUAAAAUUUGUAAUUCUAAUAUAGAAAGAAAUAUCAUGGAAGUAGGAAACACUGGGAGGCAGGAAACUUAUUAUAGUAUUCUUUAUGUAUUGAAUUUCUAUACCACUUAUCUAUUCACAUGCCAAGAUGAGUCCUCUACAUCAACUCAUCCACCAUACAGAUAAGAACCAAACUCAUAAAACAUAUCUGAAUUCCCGGAUGCCAAAAGAGAUAAUAAUAUACUCACAUCUAAAUCUACAAAAACCAGAGUCUAUCACUAACAAAACACGCAAUGAAGGCGGAAAAAAAAAA